UACGGAGGGGGCUAGCGUUGUUCGGAAUUACUGGGCGUAAAGCGCACGUAGGCGGCUUUGUAAGUUAGAGGUGAAAGCCCAGGGCUUAACCCUGGAAUUGCCUUUAAGACUGCAUCGCUAGAAUUGUGGAGAGGUAAGUGGAAUUCCGAGUGUAGAGGUGAAAUUCGUAGAUAUUCGGAAGAACACCAGUGGCGAAGGCGACUUACUGGACACAUAUUGACGCUGAGGUGCGAAAGCCUGGGUAUCAAACAUU
rnacentral:rRNA from 1 species